rnacentral:rRNA from 1 species
CCUACGGGUGGCAGCAGUGGGGGAUAUUGGACAAUGGGGGGAACCCUGAUCCAGCGACGCCGCGUGAGUGAAGAAGUAUUUCGGUAUGUAAAGCUCUGUCAGCAGGGAAGAAAGAAAUGACGGUACCUGACCAAGAAGCCCCGGCUAACUACGUGCCAGCAGCCGCGGUAAUACGUAGGGGGCAAGCGUUAUCCGGAAUUACUGGGUGUACAGGGAGCGUAGACGGUGAGGUAAGUCUGAAGUGAAAGGCCGGGGCCCAACCCCGGGACUGCUGUGGAAACUAUUUGACUAGAGAGCAGGAGAGGUAAGCGGAAUGCAUGGUGUAGCGGUGAAAUGCGUAGAGAUUAGGAGGAACACCAGUGGCGAAGGCGGCUUACUGGACUGUAACUGACGUUGAGGCUCGAAAGCGUGGGGAGCAAACAGGAUUAGAUACCCCAGUAGUC